rfam:Salmo salar isolate Sally breed double haploid chromosome ssa15, whole genome shotgun sequence.
UGUAUGCAUUCACUGUAAGUCACUCUGGAUAAGAGCGUCUGCUAAAUGACAAAAA